AGCGGCGCACGGGUGCGUAACGCGUAUGCAACCUGCCCUGUACAGGGGAAUAGCCCGUCGAAAGGCGGAUUAAUGCCCCAUGGCUCCUUCGAGAGGCAUCUCUUGGAGGGUAAAGAUUUAUCGGUACAGGAUGGGCAUGCGUGCCAUUAGUUGGACGGUGGGGUAACGGCCCACCGUGGCGACGAUGGCUAGGGGUUCUGAGAGGAAGGCCCCCCACACUGGGACUGAGACACGGCCCAGACUCCUACGGGAGGCAGCAGUGAGGAAUAUUGGUCAAUGGGCGGAAGCCUGAACCAGCCAUGCCGCGUGCGGGAAGAAGGCGCUACGCGUCGUAAACCGCUUUUGUCCGGGGGUAACCGUAGGGACGUGUCCCUACCUGCAAGUACCGGACGAAUAAGGGUCGGCUAACUCCGUGCCAGCAGCCGCGGUAAUACGGAGGACCCGAGCGUUAUCCGGAUUCAUUGGGUUUAAAGGGUGCGCAGGCGGCCCGGUCAGUCAGCGGUGAAAUGCCCGCGCUUCACGCGGGAGCUGCCGUUGAUACUGCCGGGCUAGAAUCUCAGCGAGGCGGGCGGAAUGCGCGGUGUAGCGGUGAAAUGCAUAGAUAUCGCGCAGAACGCCGAUUGGGGAGCCAGCUCGCCAGCUGGGUAUUGACGCUGAGGCACGAAAGCGUGGGGAUCGAACAGGAUUAGAUACCCUGGUAGUCCACGCCGUAAACGAUGAUGGCUCGCUCUUGG
rnacentral:rRNA from 1 species